GGAAUAUUGGACAAUGGGCGAAAGCCUGAUCCAGCCAUGCCGCGUGAGUGAUGAAGGCCCUAGGGUUGUAAAGCUCUUUCAGCGGGGCCGAUAAUGACGGUACCCGCAGAAGAAGCCCCGGCUAACUUCGUGCCAGCAGCCGCGGUAAUACGAAGGGGGCUAGCGUUGUUCGGAAUCACUGGGCGUAAAGCGCGCGUAGGCGGAUUGUUAAGUCGGGGGUGAAAUCCCGAGGCUCAACCUCGGAACUGCCUUCGAUACUGGCGAUCUUGAGUCCGGGAGAGGUGAGUGGAAUUCCUAGUGUAGAGGUGAAAUUCGUAGAUAUUAGGAAGAACACCAGUGGCGAAGGCGGCUCACUGGCCCGGUACUGACGCUGAUGUGCGAAAGCGUGGGGAGCAAA
rnacentral:rRNA from 1 species